UGCUAUUGGAGUUCGAUUAAGCCAUGCGAGUCAAGGGAACUUCGGUUACCGGCGUACUGCUCAGUAACACGUGGAUAAUCUGCCCUUGGGUGGGGGAUAGCCUCGGGAAACUGAGGGUAAUACCCCAUAGGUCAUAAUUGCUGGAAUGCAUCUUGACUUAAAGCUCCGGCGCCCAAGGAUGAGUCUGCGGCCUAUCAGGUUGUAGUGGGUGUAAUGGACCCACUAUCCUACGACGGGUACAGGUCGUGAGAGCGAUUGCCCGGAGAUGGAUUCUGAGACAUGAAUCCAGGCCCUACGGGGCGCAGCAGGCGCGAAAACUUCGCAAUGUGGGAAACUACGACGAGGGAACUCCAAGUGCUCGCACAUUGUGCGAGCUUUUCUUAUACCUAAAAAGUAUGGGGAAUAAGGGCUGGGUAAGACGGGUGCCAGCCGCCGCGGUAAUACCCGCAGCCCAAGUGGUGAUCGUUAUUAUUGGGCUUAAAACGUCCGUAGCCUGUCAGGUAAAUCUCUGGGUAAAUCGACUGGCUUAACCAGCCGAAUUCCGGAGAGACUGCCAGACUUGGGACCGGGUGAGGGUGGAGGUACUUCAGGGGGAGGGUGAAAUCCUUUAAUCCUUGAAGGACCACCAGUGGCGAAAGCGUCCACCUAGAACGGCUCCGACGGUAAGGGACGAAACCCUGGGGCGCAAACGGGAUUAGAUACCCCGGUAGUCCAGGGCGUAAACGCUGUGGGCUUGGUGUUGGGUGUCCUACGAGGGCAUUCAGUGCCGUAGAGAAAUUGUUAAGCUUACUGCCUGGGGAGUACGCUCGUAAGAGUGAAACUUAAAGGAAUUGGCGGGGGAGCACCGCAACGGGUGGAGCGUGCGGUUUAAUUGGAUUCAACGCCGGAAAACUCACCGGGGGAGACUGCCGCAUGAGAGUCAGGCUGAAGACCUUACUCGAUUAAAAGGUAGAGAGGUGGUGCAUGGCCGUCGUCAGUUCGUACUGUAAAGCGUUCUGUUAAGUCAGAUAACGAACGAGACCCUCGCUGUUAGUUGCUAUUGUUAUCUCCGGAUGACAAGCACACUAAUGGGACCGCUGGCGCAAAGUCAGAGGAAGGUGAGGGCGACGGUAGGUCAGUAUGCCCUGAAUCCCCACGGGCUACACGCGCGCUACAAAGGUCAGGACAAUGGGUUUCUACACCGAGAGGAGAUGGUAAACUCGAAACCUGUACCGUAGUUCGGAUCGAGGGUUGCAACUCACCCUCGUGAAGCUGGAAUCCGUAGUAAUCGCGAAUCAACAUCUCGCGGUGAAUGCGCCACUGCUCCUUGCACACACCGCCCGUCAAACCAUCCGAGUCGUGGGUGGACGAGGGUAUCUUUUUUGGGGUACUCGAAUCCUGUCC
rnacentral:rRNA from 1 species